rnacentral:misc_RNA from 1 species
UUGUGGAGGAGGACGCCGAAGGUGGGGCUGAUGACUGGGGUGAAGUCGUAACAAGGUAGCCGUACCGGAAGGUGCGGCUGGAUCACCUCCUAACAGGGAGACUAACUUAAGAUUAUGAUGUCUAAUUUUUUAUAUUUAGGCCGUAAUCCUGUCACCUUAGGUCGAUCGGUACCUCAAUUUAUUAAGUCAUUGGGAUUGUUUAUUCAAUAACUGUUUGACUGAUAAUUUCAGUUCCUAAACUUGUCUAGGUCACACCCAGCAAGGGUACUCCUGGGCCGUUAGCUCAGGUGGUUAGAGCGCACCCCUGAUAAGGGUGAGGUCCCUGGUUCAAGUCCAGGAUGGCCCAUUCGUUGUUGGGGGUAUAGCUCAGUUGGUAGAGCGCCUGCUUUGCAAGCAGGAUGUUAGCGGUUCGAGUCCGCUUACCUCCACUGAUUAACUUCCUGAUAUCCCUAUUUAAUGGAGCAACUUUUGUCGUGAUUUAGACAUUUCUAUAUGAAAUGAACCUAGCUUCCUGUCAUUCCUAAACAAUUUUUGGUUGAUAAGAUGCUGGGCUCUCUGGAAUAUUUUCCAGUGAUUUCAGUAGAACCUUGACAACUGCAUAGGUAAGUCUGGAAAGAAUAAAGCAUCUCAUGGAUGCAUAAUUCUUUUCUAUUUUUAUUAAUUGAGCAUAAAAAUUAGCUCAUUAAUUUAAUUAGAAUAAGAAUUCAUGUUUAAUUCUUGAGUAAGAGUCAAGACCAUCAAUUUCUGAUGGCUUUGUAAAUUAAGGUCAAGCUACAA